GCGGCUGUAGUACACCGGUAGUAUAUGAGCUUCCCAAGCUUAGGAACCGGGUUCAAUUCCCGGCAACCGCA
rnacentral:tRNA from 1 species